rnacentral:rRNA from 1 species
ACCUUCCGUACACUCAGGGAUAGCCUUUCGAAAGAAAGAUUAAUACCUGAUGGUAUGAUGAGAUUGCAUGAUAGCAUCAUUAAAGAUUUAUCGGUGUACGAUGGGGAUGCGUUCCAUUAGGUAGUAGGCGGGGUAACGGCCCACCAAGGCGACGAUCAGUAGGGGUUCUGAGAGGAAGGUCCCCCACAUUGGAACUGAGACACGGUCCAAACUCCUACGGGAGGCAGCAGUGAGGAAUAUUGGUCAAUGGGCGAGAGCCUGAACCAGCCAAGUAGCGUGCAGGAUGACGGCCCUAUGGGUUGUAAACUGCUUUUAUAAGGGAAUAAAGUGAGUCUCGUGAGGCUUUUUGCAUGUACCUUAUGAAUAAGGACCGGCUAAUUCCGUGCCAGCAGCCGCGGUAAUACGGAAGGUCCGGGCGUUAUCCGGAUUUAUUGGGUUUAAAGGGAGCGUAGGCCGGAGAUUAAGCGUGUUGUGAAAUGUAGACGCUCAACGUCUGCACUGCAGCGCGAACUGGUUUCCUUGAGUACGCACAAAGUGGGCGGAAUUCGUGGUGUAGCGGUGAAAUGCUUAGAUAUCACGAAGAACUCCGAUUGCGAAGGCAGCUCACUGGAGCGCAACUGACGC